UACGAAGGGGGCUAGCGUUGUUCGGAAUUAUUGGGCGUAAAGAGCUUGUAGGCGGUUUGUCGCGUCUGCUGUGAAAAUCCGGGGCUCAACCCCGGACUUGCAGUGGGUACGGGCAGGCUAGAGUGUGGUAGGGGAGACUGGAAUUCCUGGUGUAGCGGUGGAAUGCGCAGAUAUCAGGAGGAACACCGAUGGCGAAGGCAGGUCUCUGGGCCACUACUGACGCUGAGAAGCGAAAGCAUGGGGAGCGAACAGG
rnacentral:rRNA from 1 species